rnacentral:rRNA from 1 species
CACGUAGGGGGCGAGCGUUGUCCGGAUUUAUUGGGCGUAAAGAGCUCGUAGGCGGUUUCGUAAGUCGGAUGUGAAAACUCCAGGCUCAACUUGGAGACGCCAUUCGAUACUGCGAUGACUUGAGUCCGGUAGGGGAGUGUGGAAUUCCUGGUGUAGCGGUGAAAUGCGUAGAUAUCGAGAGGAACACCUGCGGCGAAGGCGGGUAGCUGGGCCGACACUGACGCUGAGGCGCGAAAGCCAGGGGAGCGAACGGG